UACGGAGGGAGCUAGCGUUGUUCGGAAUUACUGGGCGUAAAGCGCGCGUAGGCGGCUUUGUAAGUUAGAGGUGAAAGCCCGGAGCUCAACUCCGGAACUGCCUUUAAAACUGCAUCGCUUGAAUCCAGGAGAGGUGAGUGGAAUUCCGAGUGUAGAGGUGAAAUUCGUAGAUAUUCGGAAGAACACCAGUGGCGAAGGCGGCUCACUGGCCCGGUACUGACGCUGAUGUGCGAAAGCGUGGGGAGCAAACAGG
rnacentral:rRNA from 1 species